UGAAUACGAGAUGCUACGGCGUCGAAGCAGUCUAUGUCAUACUUCCAAGAAAAGCCUGCACUGUCAUAAACAAAUAAUGCCUGUACCAUAACCGACACAGGUGGGUAGGUAGAGUAUACUAAGGGGCGCGAGAUAACUCUCUCUAAGGAACUCGGCAAAAUGACUCCGUAACUUCGGGAGAAGGAGUGCCUUAUUUAUAAGGUUGCAAUAACAAGACCCAAGCAACUGUUUAUCAAAAACACAGGUCUCCGCUAAGUCGUAAGACGAUGUAUGGGGGCUGACGCCUGCCCAGUGCCAGAAGGUUAAAGAAGUUGGUUAGCAUUAGCGAAGCUGAUGACUGAAGCCCUGGUGAACGGCGGCCGUAACUAUAACGGUCCUAAGGUAGCGAAAUUCCUUGUCGGGUAAGUUCCGACCCGCACGAAAGGCGUAAUGAUUUGGGUACUGUCUCAGAGAGGGACUCGGUGAAAUAGACUUGUCUGUGAAGAUGCGGACUACCUGCACCUGGACAGAAAGACCCUAUGAAGCUUUACUGUAACCUGAAAUUGAAAUUGGACUUUAUUUGCGCAGUAUAGGUGGGAGGCUUUGAAGAUAUUCUUGCGGGAAUGUUGGAGCCAUCAGUGAGAUACCACUCUUGUAAUGUUAGAUUUCUAACUUUGUAUCAUUAUCUGGUCAAAGAACAGUUUCAGGCGGGCAGUUUGACUGGGGCAGUCGCCUCCUAAACGGUAACGGAGGCGCACAAAGGUUUCCUCUGAACGGGUAGAAAUCGUAUCUAGAGUGUAAAGGCAUAAGGAAGCUUGACUGUGAGACCUACAAGUCGAGCAGGGACGAAAGUCGGUCUUAGUGAUCUGACGGUGCUGAGUGGAAAGGCCGUCACUCAACGGAUAAAAGUUACUCUAAGGAUAACAGGCUGAUCUCCCCCAAGAGUUCACAUCGACGGGGAGGUUUGGCACCUCGAUGUCGGCUCAUCGCAUCCUGGGGCGGUAGUACGUCCCAAGGGUUGGGCUGUUCGCCCAUGAAAGCGGUACGCGAGCUGGGUUCAGAACGUCGUGAGACAGUUCGGUCCAUAUCCGGUGUAGGCGUUAGAAUAUUGAGAGGAGCCUUCUCUAGUACGAGAGGACCGAGAAGGACACACCUCUGGUGUACCAGUUAUCGUGCCAACGGUAAACGCUGGGUAGCUAUGUGUGGAGCGGAUAACCGCUGAAAGCAUCUAAGUGGGAAGCCCACCUCAAGAUAAGUAUUCUCAU
rnacentral:rRNA from 1 species